AGGCAGUGCAAGAGGGCAUGGAUUCAGGGAAAUAUGAAAAAUUGAGGCUUUAAUGCAAUCCAUCUAUCAUAAAAGAGAUGCGGUUUUCCUAGGUUGCUCCUGCUGGUCUCCGACUCCUGAGCUCAAGUAAUCCUCCUGCCUCAGCCUCCCAAAGUGCUAGGAUUGCAGGUAAAUGAUGUCUUGCUUGGGAAUAGAACCCUUGGAGCGUGUAGAUGGGAUACCACGGUCUUCCAGCUCCUAUUGCAGGGCUGCUUUGUGUGGGAAAGCUGGUGGCAGAUCAUGGAAAGACGGCCCAUCAUAGAACCAAACACACGUGAUCACAGGCAUGACGCAAAACAAUGAAGCUUGGUACCUUCCUCUCGCCACAGGAUGUUUGCAACUGCAGCAGCAGAGAAUGAGGAAAGCAGGAGUGUGAUGGAGUCAAGGAAAAAGAAGAAAGCAGUGUUAAACCGUCACUGCAGUGAUU
ensembl:lncRNA novel transcript